rnacentral:rRNA from 1 species
GAUGAACGCUGGCGGCAUGCCUAACACAUGCAAGUCGAGCGAACAGACGAGGAGCUUGCCCGUCUGUCGUUAGCGGCGGAUGGGUGAGUCAUACGUGGAUACCCUAUCUUUAAGACUGACAUAACUACGGGAAACCGGAUCCCGUAUCCGACCUUAUAUUGAACGGCUUGGUUCAAUAGUGUUAGCCGGCUUUUCUGUCACUAAUAGAUGGUUUCGCGUCGCAUUAGCUAGUUGGUAAGGAAACGGCUUACCAAGGCGACGAUGCGUAGCCGACCUGAGAGGGUGGUCGGCCACCCGGGAAGUGAGACACGGCCGAGACUCCUACGGUAGGCAGCAGUAGGGAAUCUUACGCAAGGGGCGAAAGCCGGAUGGAGCAAAGCCGCGUGAGUGAUGAAGGUCUUCGGAUCGGAAAACGCUGUAAGUAGGGAGGAAGAAAAGUGUAUUUAACUAUGCACGUGUUGACGGUACCUAUACAAAAAGCCCCGGCUAACUACGUG